GCAAAUUUAAUGGUUAUGAAAAGAGGUUGAAGAUGAUUCAGAAAUGUAACCUUCAAAUACAUCCCCACAUCAUAAUAAAAACCAUCAAAUAAGUCCCUGAAUAUUUUAAUCAUAUAUCAAAUUGAUCCUUGAAAUUACAGAACACACAAAUUGAAACUGAAAUAUUACAUAGGCAAAAGUCAUAGGUAAUAAGUCAUAAGUCUGAGAAAUUACAUAAGCAGGAGUUGGAUGAGCUGCUGUAGGACCCCUCAUUGAUGUAUUCUUAGGCCUAUCAGCUGAAGGAAUCGGUCCUCUAAGGCCAUACCUCCUUGGUGCAACACUCUGAAAUUUCAAAUUCAAUCAAAUUAGUCCAUAAAAUCAUAACAGAUUCAAUCAUAUCAGUCCUUCAAUUAAUAUACUAAUUGUUGCCCUUGCACACUCCCAUACCACCCCUCUCAAUUCAUUAUCCUUCCAUUGUUUUGUGAAGUUCAUCCAUAGAUGCAUUGCACAAUAUCUAUGUGGCACCCCUGACAUCAC
rnacentral:lncRNA from 1 species